rnacentral:sRNA from 1 species
CCAUUACCAUAAAGUGUUAGUAGGGUGUAUUUAGUUUGUCUAUGGGGCAUGGACAACGACUCACGAAAAGGAGAAACCCAGAGCACACAUUGACCAUUUAGCCGGUGCCAUAGCCAGCUGUUUGAGCAAUGAACCGGCAGCCAUUCGUUUACAUACUCCUUUUCAGUUUAUAAUCUUGGGGUAUGUUCAGUUAAAGGCCAUUCGAUGCAGUGUUGUAUUCCGGUCUGUUCUAGUCUAGUCUUGCAUAUUCCUCUUUUUAUGUGUUGCAAAUACCAUGAACUUUUUUUAUACACCAAUUUUCAAUUUUAGUUUUUGUAUAUUAACAAAUAUCAGGUAUUGAUUUCUUUAUAAGUACAAAAGUUACCAGCAAAAAAAUUUUAGAAAUUGUUUCACUUGUUUUCUUCUCUCCAUCGAGUGUGUGUGCCGUAUACGUAAAAAACCACCACCUCCUUCGUUCAACACUCUGUGGUUGUGGUAUCGUCGUUCACUUGGCUUUUAGCUUUUUACCGUAACAAAGUCCAAAAGUCCUUUAUUGUUAAUGUGUCAUUUGACAUUUGCCAUUUUCCUUUAUAAUUUCACUUUUACACACACACACACACACAUGUAUACGCAUGCAGCACCGGAGCAUACCACUUUGUUUCACUUGACGCAAAUCGCUGAAAAUUGAAUAAAAAUGAGGUGGUUAAUGAUGGGUGAUAUAUCCUCUCGCAGUGGUUGCUUUGUCUGGACAGAAUAGCACAACGAAAAAACCUGCAAGCAAUGCUCUUUGUUUCUAUGCAAACACUGCUGUUAUUCCUCGUUGCUCGUCAAAACCCACAUUAAUCCUUUUGAGAAAUUUCCUCGAUAUUCCGGGAAUUUUUCAAUCUAUCGAUAAAUAACAGGUAGAAACAUUGGACACGAUGCUAAAUGGGCUAAAAUUCCUUUUUUUUCUUCAAUCUUUCAGAUACUCUUUCUCCCAUGCACAUACACAGUCACUCCAAUUUCUGAAUGUAGAAUUGAACAGAAAUAAUUUCGAAUUUUAAUUUUAGAUUGCUCUUAUUUGGUUUGGUUCAAGUGUUUUUUAUUCUCGUAAUUUUUUUUACAUCCUCAUCGUACGCUGUGCUUGCGGCGGCUCUCGACUUGCUCCCGUUUUCCGUUCUUUACAUGAAUAGCACCAACAAUAACAACAGCGCACAUAAACUGGUCCGGUUUUUCUUCAUAUUUUCUUUCUUGCUGACUGCCUGUCUGUUUGCCUCUUCUUCUUCUAAAGUGCACGCACUAUCGGGAAUUGAAUGGGCCUAGAGCUGCUGCUUUUCUUUGUUUUUUAUUUUUUGCUUUUUGAUAGAGCGACUGUGUAAGUUCUGCCGUUGGGAUACAUUCGGACUGCUUUAAUGGAUUUUUUCUCCACUCCCACCAUUAGUUCAUUUCACUUACAAUAACAACAAUAAUGCUAUUCUUUUGUUUAUUCUAUCCACACUAUUUGUUUAUUUUUCGCAAUCCCAGUGCGUUAAUGUUUUUAUGGAAAA